UACGUAGGGUGCAAGCGUUAAUCGGAAUUACUGGGCGUAAAGCGUGCGCAGGCGGUUUUGUAAGUCAGAUGUGAAAUCCCCGGGCUUAACCUGGGAACUGCGUUUGAAACUACAAGGCUAGAGUGUGGCAGAGGGGGGUGGAAUUCCACGUGUAGCAGUGAAAUGCGUAGAGAUGUGGAGGAACACCGAUGGCGAAGGCAGCCCCCUGGGCCUGCACUGACGCUCAUGCACGAAAGCGUGGGGAGCAAACAGG
rnacentral:rRNA from 1 species